AGCAGAGCCUAUCAGCCAAAUAUCUUUAGAGCCAGAAGGUUCAUAUCACAAAGAGAUUUCCAAGUCCCAUUUGCAUUUGGACUGAAGCACAUUAGCAAACUAGAUUUUGAGGUCUGACUCAAGAAUUUUGAUGAUCUACUACAGCUUGUUAUAAAGAGCCUUUCAGCCUUUACUAUAAUUUAGGGCAAGAACCCCUGAAUUGUAGCUUUAAGUCCAAAAUCACUGUGCAGAGGAAGUGCCCUUCAAUCAUUUCAGAAAAUGUCUUGAUUGCUGGAAAUACCAUCUUACUCAUUCCAUGUGUUUCUGCAUCUCAGUUUGCUUGGCGCCAUAAGCCUACCUAAUUAUACCACAGGGCAUCUGUAGAUGUAUUUCUAACAUGGGAAAAAAUGUCAAUAAAUCUAACCAGUCGGCUGGAGAUGCCAUCAUAGCUUCAGGAUUUUUUUCCAAUCUUAAAAACAAGUUAAUAAUAUUUAAAAUGGCUAAAUGACCCCUUUCCUGUUUCCAAGCAGAGUCAGAACUUUAUUUGUACAUAAUACUCAGGUCCUGUGGAAUCAUGCCUGCCCUAGCCUGACGUCUUGAAGCCCUUCACUCAAAUGGAAACUGAUACCUUUAAGGUCAUAAAAAGCUCUGCCAGGAGAGAACAACACCAGCAUACCCAUGAUCACUAAUGACAUCCCUCCAGAAGGAGAGAAGCUUUUCAAUGGGAGGAAAUAGCCUCUGGCUGGAUAGGGACAACUCUUGGACUGAAGACCUUCUAAAAGCUUUAGAUCCUGAAUAGAAAAACUUGGUACAGAUGACGCAUUCAUGUGUACAGA